AAAUGUUGUUGUUAAUAGUCCAAUGGUUCAACCAAUUUCAAUGUAUCCAUCUACUGAAGGUGGAAGUCAAUUUUGGGGUAAUUUACCCCACUACACUAACAUCAA